ACUGUGGAAUCGCUUGUUGAGCCUCUAUCGCGAGCGACAAAAAUCAAAUGGACUAGAACAAUGGAUCAGAUAUUGUUCGAUACGUUACUUGAGCAAAUAGCUUUAGGCCAAAAGGCGGAUAAUGGAUUUAAGAGAGAAACAUAUCAUGCGGCUACUGAGGAGGUGUCUAGGAGGAUUGAAAUUUUGGUAAACUGGUAAAAUGUGCAAAACUGAUUGCAGUAUCAUAAACGAGAGUACAACGAUGUGAAGGACAUGCUGGCCGCAAGUGGUUUUGGGUGGGAUAGCGAGCAUAUGGUUGUCAUGGCACCAGAUGAGGUUUGGGAAGAGUACUUGAAGGUAAAGAUUGCUCAUAACCCCUUUCAUUGAAUUUCAUUUGUCACAUAGAUAUCUCUCUUAAUUAUGUGUAUUCGACUAUCAUCUACUUACCUAAUCCCUUCCUUGUAUGUAGUCGCAUCUGAGAGCAGAAAGACUAUGCGGGAAGAUAGAACGAUUGGAUGAUUUAGCGGCGAUUGUAGGUUCAGACCAUGUAACAGGCCACUACGCCUAAGGAAGCAAGAACAUGGCCGCAUCUUCAUCUCGUAUUUAACAAGAUCUGAAUGAAGCUUGGAUUGACCUGGAUGAUGACACCGAUGCACCUAUCGAUAUUUUCGAGGAAAAUCUCAGGGAUUCGACUCAGAAUUUUUAAGCUUCGAAGGAAAGCCAUAGGGCAUCAGAAAAUUGCUAAUUCUGUAGCACUCCCAGCCAAGCAACUGAAUCUGAGAGUAGUCGUAGUGGGAGUACGACAACGAAGAGUAUGCAUUCUACUCGUCCCUUUGAUGUCCUCGGCAUAUCUCUAAAUGGGGUGGCAGAGGCAAUGCACAAAUUUGGACUUGGUAAAGAGGUCAACCGUACUAGUAAAGUCCUGGAUAUCCUUGAGAGAGGUUUAGGGACUGACCAACCCAGAGUUCCUUGAGUUUGUUUAGCUUCUAACCAGGGAUGAGAAGCUAGCCUCCUUUUUUGUAAGUCUUCGACUAGAGCGGAGGGUCAAUUGGUUAAAAAAACUUUGUCUGAUUUCAAUAGAAAUGUUGGUAGGGGUUCUAAUUGAUGGUUGAAACAACCUUAAUUAGAUUUCAUUUUAGAUAAUUUCAAUGAAGGAUAUGUAAUAACUAUAUACUCAUUUGUGUUUUUGUUAGUGACCGUCUUUUUCACAUGUCUUUGGAUAUUUAUAUACUGUACCACCUGCAUGAUAUUCUGCUUUGUGUGAAACUAAUCUGCCCUUUUCAGUACUAUUCACUUUACAUGCCUUCAUAUUAUGAAUUGUAUAACAUGCAUUUUUUCAUAUCUUGGUUAUGUUUAUGUGAAUAUAGAUGGGUUUAAGUAAAUAUUACAUUAUAGUCAAUGGUCGUCGACUUGGGAUAUAUGUCUUGGGAUGAGGCACGGUUGCAUAUAGAAGGAUAUAAUGGUGUCAGACAUCGAUCCUUCAAAUCUUUCCAACAUGCGACUGCAUGGUGGAAUUCUAACCAUGCAAGUAUGAGUAGUGAGUUAAUGAUCUAGAGUUGUAGUGAGGUUGAGUCACCUACAUAUGCCACUAAAUCGAUCUAAGAAAUUUUGAGGUCCAGGGUGUGCAAGAGUACCUAAACAGAUGAUACUCACACGAAUUACAGGGAAAUGGUGGCUGCAUUUGUAAUUGUCAUCUUGGUUACAAUGUUCAUCUUAUAUUUAAUUAUUAAGCUGUAGUUUCAGUGUUCCAGCACUUAUUCUCACUCUGUUUUUGGUAGACAUCAGAUAUUUGAAUCUAGUAGGCUUUUUCAAUGGCAUGUAUAAUUGCAGGAUACGAAUAUGUUUUAAUCAUCUCUAGAUUUGCAUGUAUUUAAUAGUACUGAUUUAUUCCAAUAGAAUGUAACAUGUGCUUUUAAUUCCUGCAUGCAUUACAAUCUUAUAACCGUCAUCCCAUAAUCUCCAUGAGUAUGGAGUUCACAGCAUUCCGUCUUGACACCUGAACAUAAGUUCCCAAGGGCCAGGUAUGAUGUCUUUAAAUUGUGAUCAGAUUAAUGUAUAAUUCUAUUUCUUUUGUGAACGCAUGUGUAGACAAGAUCUAUCAUGGAGGGUAACCACCGGAUCAUUCGAAGAUCGUGUGUUAAAUUGGUAUGAAUUUCCAUUUCCAAUUUACAUUACAAGUUAUCACAUACUGACAUCAAUCGGACAUGUACGGGUAGUAGUCAGACCUAGUAGAAGAAUAUGCAUUGUGUUUCUCUGGGUUGAUGUACAAUGCCUUUCAUCCGUCACCUAAAAUCUCCUUCUCGAAUAAGGUCAUGCACCAAACAACUAUGCAGGGCGAACUCCAACUCUGAGACUUGAUUCCAUCGGCUUGUACAAUAAUUCAUGUCCCUGGUUCACGAUCCGUAAGGUGGCUCCAUCUUUCUGAUCUAUCACAUGACAUAGACAUUGUGGUCGUCUUGUAGGGGAGAUUGGAAGAACAUGACAGAAGAACUGAAGAUAUUUGCGUGAUGUUUAUUAUGAGUUGAUGUGUUUGU